GAUGAAUGCUGGCGGCGUGCCUAACACAUGCAAGUCGAGCGGCAGCGCGAGUAGUUUACUACUUGGCGGCGAGCGGCGGACGGCUGAGUAACGCGUGGGAACGUGCCCCAAAGUGAGGAAUAACUGCCCGAAAGGGUGGCUAAUGCCGCAUAUGGUCUUCGGAUUAAAGGAUUUAUCCGCUUUGGGAGCGGCCCGCGUCGGAUUAGGUUGUUGGUGAGGUAAUGGCUCACCAAGCCGACGAUCCGUAGCUGGUCUGAGAGGAUGAUCAGCCAGACUGGGACUGAGACACGGCCCAGACUCCUACGGGAGGCGGCAGUGAGGAAUCUUCCACAAUGGGCGAAAGCCUGUUGGAGCAACGCCGCGUGAAGGAUGAAGGCCCUCGGGUUGUAAACUUCUUUUAUAAGUGAAGAAUAUGACGGUAACUUAUGAAUAAGCACCGGCUAACUACGUGCCAGCAGCCGCAGUAACAC
rnacentral:rRNA from 1 species